rnacentral:rRNA from 1 species
GACGAACGCUGGCGGCGUGCUUAACACAUGCAAGUCGAACGAAGUGGCGAACGGGUGAGUAACGCGUAAUCAACCUGCCCUUCAGAGGGGGACAACAGUUGGAAACGACUGCUAAUACCGCAUACUGAAGGAGGGGCUGGCGUCUGAUUAGCUAGUUGGGGGGGUAACGGCCCUCCAAGGUGAGGAUCAGUAGCCGGUCUGAGAGGGUGGACGGCCACAUUGGGACUGGGACACGGCCCAGACUCCUACGGGAGGGAGCAGUGGGGAAUCUGCCGCAAUGGACGAAAGUCUGACGGAACAACGCCGCGUGAGUGAUGACGGCCUUCGGGUUGUAAAGGUCUGUUAAUCGGGACGCGGUACCGGAAUAGAAAGCCACGGCUAACUACGUGCCAGCAGCCGCGGUAAUUC